AUUUGGUCAAAGUUAAAGAAAUAUCAGUGAAACAGCCUCAGGAGGUCUUGAGAACGUGUGUCAAAGGUCGUCGGGCUACAGGUUGGUUUUACACGUUUUAGGGAGACAUAAGAUAUCAAUCAAUACGUGUAAGUUGUACAUUGCUUUGAUAUGAAAAGGCAGGACAGCCCGAAGGAGGGGGGAUGUUGGGGACUUCCAGGUCCUAGGUGGAUUCAAAGAUUUCAUAGGUGGUUGAAAGAGUUGAUCUAAUGACCUGUAAUCAACACAAGGGAGUUUCUGGGUUUAGAAAAAGGGUUUUGGAGCCAAGGUUGCAUCAUGCAGAUGGAGCCUCCAGGUAGCAGGCUUCAGAGAGAAUAGAUUGUAAUUGUUUCUUAGCAGACUUAAAAGGUGCCAAACUCUUAGUUAAAUCUCUCUGGGUCAGGAAAGAGACUUAAAAAGGAGUCUCUACAGAAUGUAGAUUUUUCCCACAAGAACCAGCUUUGCAGAGGCAUUUUUAAAUACAUUAAAUAACAAUAUCUUGGGGAAAAUACUUUGAUUUCUCUUAGGACGUGGUAUCUGUCACAUUGGUAUCUUAUUGCUAUAAAGAGUUUUCUUUGUCAGUCUCAAGGUCUCUGUCUUCAUAUUAAAAGCUGGUCAGUUGUGCCUGAAUUUUAAAGGGAAGAGGGUAAGUUAAGGCAUAUCCAAUCAUCCGUUCCGAUCAUGGGCUGCAUUGUAUUUCAGGUUGAUUUUGGUGUGUGCUUGGCUGAGAGGAGGAGUUCAUUCAGUUGGUUAGGGAGCUUAGAGUUUCAUUUUUGGUUUACACACCUAUGUCCAGGUAAGAGGGCCCCACACAGGAGGGCUUGCUCAGAACCUGGCUUGCAGGGCUGCUUACAGACCUUCUAUGUCUCCUGUUGUCAUGCACAAGGAAGGACACAGCCAAUGACAACCCUCAGCCAUCCGAGGAGAAGCUGUGUCUGCAGAGGACGGUCAUGAGCUGCAGUGGGUGGUAUGACAGCACAGAGGGACUCUGUGGGUCCAGCUGCAUGGAGCACUCUGGGAGAGUCACUGGCACCCGUGCUAGACAGAGCUUCAUUCAACUUCUGGAGCACACGGAUUUAGAUCUCUUUACAUCAUUUUGAAAGACCACUUAUCAUUCUGAAGGAAACCACUGUAAUUAACUAAGGUAACAUCUUUAAUAGGUAGAAAGAAAAAACUGAUUAUUUUAUUGCCAAGAUGAUUACAAGAAAAGAAAGAAACAAAAAUAGCAUGAAGGAAAGAGCAACACUAGACUGAGGGCUUUGGGUAAGAGGUUGAGACUUAGUAGUGAAUGCCCUGGGCCAUCUUCUGUCAAAAGGGAGGGACAAUCAGCAAAGGGAAAUAUGCAGUAGAGGCAAAAUCUUGGUUAGUAAAAGAAUCCUAAGAGAAAACAAGAAGUCUCCUUCCUGAGCAUCAUGUUGGUGUCGGGAAGAUGCACAUAAUCCCCCCAUUGCAUGUCUUAACACUUUUCAGCAAUUAGGGCUCAGCACGAAUUUAGAAGACACCAUUCACUUCACAGCAGAUGGGGACACAGUCAAGGCAGCGGUGAGAGGCAAGGCUGGGCUUUCAGUCUCAGAGCACAGAGCAGGUUCCCCACUACUCCGCACCCUUGUGUCUCCUCCCAGAUGUUCCAGAUGUUCCACCUCAUUCUUGCCUUAAGGGCUCCAAGUUGUUAAUGGGACAGUAGCCCUCUUCCUUUCCCAGGGUUUCUAAGAAUUUGGCUCUCUUUUGUGUAUUGCGGGGUUUGUUUGCCAUCUAGAGGCAGGUUUUUGGCAUAGCAACUUAUAGGCUUUUUCUACUUGUGAUAGCGAAAAUAAAUACAUAAAUAAAUUCAUCAUAAAUAAUAAAUUGACUUAAUGCAUUGAAUCUGUAAAAAAAAAAAUAAGGUCAGUUUGAGAGCUUAAAAGGAGCCUGAUGAGGUUAAAAAGACAAAUUACCUUUAGUAAAGAGCAGUUGGAGCAAUAGAUGAUUCUUUCUUUAAUCAAUGACAUUUUAGGAGUAAUUAUCAAAU
rnacentral:lncRNA from 10 species